UAUUGUAGUAAAGUACAGCAAAAUGUACCAACUAGAACACUUAAAAACAAAUGGAGAAACUUUCAAAUGCUUUGAAGUACCGUUGCUGGAGUACUGUUGAGGUUAUGUUUGACCUUGGUAUGACUGUCAGGGUAGUCAUCGUCAUGUUCCAAUUGCAUGCCCCCUCUCUGCCACAUCAGUAAAAUUUGCCACAAAAGUUUUAAAAAACGACUUUAAACAACAAAAAAGGCCCUAUUUUCAUUAACAAUGAGACAUAUCUCGCUGCAUGCGGCACGACAUAGGCCUCAUAGACCAAUCUCAUUGUGAAUGGUUUUCGCUGAGAUCACUUUGAGAGGGUUUCACUGAGACUGACGUUGGCGGAAGGCUGAAACCUGCCUCGCGACAAGUCUUUGCACCAACAUUCGAAAACGCUGUCAAUGGCUUAAAAUGAUGAAACUGUCAGUUUUUUUGUGUCUUUUGGGAUUAGUCUUUGAGUCCUGUCGCGCCGCAUGUAGCGAAGCAGAUCUCAUUGUGAAUGGGUUCUUUAAGAAACAGUUUUAAUGUACACCACAAGACAUACACUGAGACGGCCUCAUGCCUCAUAUCAUGGCUUGUAAUUGACAGCAUUUUAUAAAAUAAUUUGGAAUCAUAAUGCAGAGAUUGUUGCGAGACAGGCAGGCAGGUCUCAAGCCUACUGCAGAAGUCGCUCUCAGUGAGUCCAUGUCUUAGAGAUGCAAGACCAAUUUAGACCAUUUACAGUGAGAUUGGUGCCCGAGACCUAUGUCAUGCAGGAAGCCAAACUUCAUCGUGAAUGGACCCUUUUCAAUGGGGGUGUGCUUUUUGAAUAAAUUUGAAAUGGCCUUUUUGAAAAAAGCAGUUGUCUCUCUUUUAUUCAUCUAUUCAACACGUUUGUAUUCGAUGCACUUACACCAAUUUCAUUAUCAGUGUCUUGAUUAUCAGGCAAGGGCGAAGUGGAAUUGGGGGCAACCCAGAAAUAAAAACACUUUAAUUUCCUUUAUUAGUAGGCUAUAUUUUUUGUAAAAGACGACUACUCUCAGAUAGAGACGUACAAAAAUUUAAACAAGAGUAAAAGUUGGUUUUUCGCAAUAUUUCACACUAUUCUUCCACACGUCCACAGUAAAAUCAGAAAGCGCUUGUUGUUAUAAAGCCCUUAUUAUGUUUUUCGACGAUGGAUGAGACUUUGUGACGUAUUUGUUAAACGUAAGUUUUCAAAUACCCCAUGCCAGUGCAACGGAGUUAUAUUAACAAUUUUAUGGGAUUAUUUUUAACUUUACACCCAUUCUGCUUGAAACAAGAGUCGCUACCAGGAAAUAACAACGAAAAAAGUGGACCCAAAAGGCUUCAGCUGCAAAUUAUAAACACUAUCUGUGAUUUUUUUAAUAUUUUUUUUAAUAAUUAAUUAAUAAAUGUCGUGAACUUACUUUGAAGUAAACAGUGAGCUCCAUCUAUAACUCAUAAUUACUUGAACCGCAAUUCCCAUCAUCAAAAUGUGCAAAACUGCGAUAAGUGAGGUUAUGCAGGUAUGCACUUUGUUUUCCAGUUUUUCACACAAAAUAUAUCACAAAUUGCGCAAACCAUACAACCACCGACAGUCAGUACUGUCAGUACGUCACAGCAGCUUUCUCCAGCACAAUCACUGACUGCAAUUCUGUAUUGUGCCAUUCCCGUCUCAUCAUAUAAUCUAUAAUUGUUAUAUGACAAGUAAUGUUUCUACCUUCAAAAAUACUUGCGUAAAUAUUUUAUUAUCCCGUUAGUACACACUUUUAAAGCAGCCACUGGUUAUAUAGAUUAAAAUUAUAACAUUUCCUUUGUUAUUGUGUUAUUGUUUACAUCAGUCAGCUGUUUACUGUCAUUUUCUAAUGCUACCAAUUUAAAAAAUGUCCCUGUUAUUAAAGCUCAAGGACCAUAGAAUGAGAGAGAGAACAUUUUUUGUUCACAUAGACGCUGAAUAUACGUAUAAAUGUCAGAAAAUUCAAAUUUUUUAUGUCCAAAUAGAAAUGUCCCGGACUGUACAAUAUUUAUGAUCCUGUUUGUGUAAAUCGUGAAUAUGUGAAUAUGUGUAUGGAAAUAGUCAGAUAAGUUUUAUUCCAUCAUUGAUUAACUUGUGUAUAAGAAAUUAAACAUUAUUUAAAUUCGUAGGUGACUUAAAUCCUCAAUUCAAAAGACGCAAAUUUGAGGUUAUAAAAAAUAAUUAAGGCAACGGAUUACAAAAAACUCACCAGAUAUUGAUGUAACUGUGAACACGAAAUAAAAAUUUAAUCAAAAAUUAAUGGUUUUAUUGAUUGGCUUUAAUAAAUUAUUAAAAGUAAUCAAAUGUGUUGUUAUUCUUUAUUUUGUAUUUGAAUUUGCUUACUAUAAACUUUAUUUAUUAUAGGUUGGUGCAGCGUAAUUAUCAUAUGUUUGGGGUAACAUUUAACUAUUUUCUUUUCUUUGCUUAUUACGUGUUUACCAUUUCUUUAUAUUUACACAUUUUUACUUGUAGAAUCAAUCAAUAUAAAUACGCAAAUUCAGAGUGGAAGUGAUUCAUCAGAUUCAUCUAAAAAACAAUUAAGAAAACGAACAAUUUAUACUUACCAAGCUUUAGACCGUUUGAAUGCUUUCUUUGAACAAAAUCAACGACCUUCAGGUGUGGAAUUCACAAGAUUGGCUAAAGAACUGGGUUAUGAUAGAAGAGUGAUAAGAAAUUGGUUUUGUAACAAGAGACAAGCACUGAAGAGAGUAAUGCAGUAAAAAUGUAUUUUCUUAAUUUAGGAUAGAAAUAAAUAAUUUGUGUCAAAAUAAA